AGCAAAUGCUGACUCACCAAGGCAGAAGAAAUGGAAGGAACAGUUAAAAGCUCUGCAGACUACCAGCUGGUUACUUGAAAGCAAAUAUUUGGAGGCUGCCACACAUUCUUGAUUAUUGAGAGCCAGUGAAGAAAGUAAACAAGUAUCUGCAGUAAGAGAAAAACAUUGGGAAAGACUAGAAGUGAAGAGAGGUGCAGCCAGUUCUGUGGACUUCAGGAAUUUUGCAAUCAACUCUAAUGAGACCUGGAUGCAGAGGUAUUCCGAGUUUCAUAUGGAAAUUUUACUGAAUUGCAUUUCAUGCGAUUCUGCUGUCUCCUGAUGGUAUUUGGUAUGGACCUGCGUGCCUUCCUACAGGACUCUGAGCGACACAACUGUCCUGAGGUGGUCAUUUGCUCUCUUGCAUGGAAAGAAACAG